rnacentral:rRNA from 1 species
AGAUUGAACGCUGGCGGCAUGCUUUACACAUGCAAGUCGAGCGGCAGCGCGGGGGCAACCCUGGCGGCGAGCGGCGAACGGGUGAGGAAUACAUCGGAACGUACCCCGGAGUGGGGAUAACGCCGCGAAAGCGGCGCUAAUACCGCAUAUGCUCUGAGGAGGAAAGCGGGGACCUGUAAGGCCUCGCGCUCUGGGAGCGGCCGAUGUCCGA